UUGGUGCUUGCAUCAUGAUUUACAUUUGAGUGAGUGGCGAACUGGUGAGUAACACGUGGGAAACCUGCCCAGAAGCGGGGGAUAACACCUGGAAACAGAUGCUAAUACCGCAUAACAACUUGGACCGCAUGGUCCGAGCUUGAAAGAUGGCUUCGGCUAUCACUUUUGGAUGGUCCCGCGGCGUAUUAGCUAGAUGGUGGGGUAACGGCUCACCAUGGCAAUGAUACGUAGCCGACCUGAGAGGGUAAUCGGCCACAUUGGGACUGAGACACGGCCCAAACUCCUACGGGAGGCAGCAGUAGGGAAUCUUCCACAAUGGACGAAAGUCUGAUGGAGCAACGCCGCGUGAGUGAAGAAGGGUUUCGGCUCGUAAAACUCUGUUGUUAAAGAAGAACAUAUCUGAGAGUAACUGUUCAGGUAUUGACGGUAUUUAACCAGAAAGCCACGGCUAACUACGUGCCAGCAGCCGCGGUAAUACGUAGGUGGCAAGCGUUGUCCGGAUUUAUUGGGCGUAAAGCGAGCGCAGGCGGUUUUUUAAGUCUGAUGUGAAAGCCUUCGGCUCAACCGAAGAAGUGCAUCGGAAACUGGGAAACUUGAGUGCAGAAGAGGACAGUGGAACUCCAUGUGUAGCGGUGAAAUGCGUAGAUAUAUGGAAGAACACCAGUGGCGAAGGCGGCUGUCUGGUCUGUAACUGACGCUGAGGCUCGAAAGUAUGGGUAGCAAACAGGAUUAGAUACCCUGGUAGUCCAUACCGUAAACGAUGAAUGCUAAGUGUUGGAGGGUUUCCGCCCUUCAGUGCUGCAGCUAACGCAUUAAGCAUUCCGCCUGGGGAGUACGGCCGCAAGGCUGAAACUCAAAGGAAUUGACGGGGGCCCGCACAAGCGGUGGAGCAUGUGGUUUAAUUCGAAGCUACGCGAAGAACCUUACCAGGUCUUGACAUACUAUGCAAAUCUAAGAGAUUAGACGUUCCCUUCGGGGACAUGGAUACAGGUGGUGCAUGGUUGUCGUCAGCUCGUGUCGUGAGAUGUUGGGUUAAGUCCCGCAACGAGCGCAACCCUUAUUAUCAGUUGCCAGCAUUAAGUUGGGCACUCUGGUGAGACUGCCGGUGACAAACCGGAGGAAGGUGGGGAUGACGUCAAAUCAUCAUGCCCCUUAUGACCUGGGCUACACACGUGCUACAAUGGAUGGUACAACGAGUUGCGAACUCGCGAGAGUAAGCUAAUCUCUUAAAGCCAUUCUCAGUUCGGAUUGUAGGCUGCAACUCGCCUACAUGAAGUCGGAAUCGCUAGUAAUCGCGGAUCAGCAUGCCGCGGUGAAUACGUUCCCGGGCCUUGUACACACCGCCCGUCACACCAUGAGAGUUUGUAACACCCAAAGUCGGUGGG
rnacentral:rRNA from 2 species